rnacentral:snRNA from 1 species
CUCUUUGCGCAGUGGCAGUAUCAUAGUCAAUGAGGUUAAUCCGAGGCGUGAUUAUUGCUAGUUGAAAACUGUGUGUGGGUGCAGGGGUCCACCUGUAUGGAGCUCAUUACAGAAUUGGGGUCUAAGACAUUAUAGGUUUAAUCUAUUUAAGCUGCUCUAAAGAUU